CCUACGGGGGGCAGCAGUGGGGAAUAUUGGACAAUGGGGGGAACCCUGAUCCAGCCAUGCCGCGUGUGUGAAGAAGGCCCUCGGGUUGUAAAGCACUUUCAGUGAGGAAGAACGCCUGGUGGUUAAUACCCAUCAGGAAAGACAUCACUCACAGAAGAAGCACCGGCUAACUCCGUGCCAGCAGCCGCGGUAAUACGGAGGGUGCGAGCGUUAAUCGGAAUUACUGGGCGUAAAGCGCGCGUAGGUGGCUUGAUAAGCCGGUUGUGAAAGCCCCGGGCUCAACCUGGGAACGGCAUCCGGAACUGUCAAGCUAGAGUGCAGGAGAGGAAGGUAGAAUUCCCGGUGUAGCGGUGAAAUGCGUAGAGAUCUGGAGGAAUACCAGUGGCGAAGGCGGCCUUCUGGACUGACACUGACACUGAGGUGCGAAAGCGUGGGUAGCAAACAGGAUUAGAUACCCUGGUAGUC
rnacentral:rRNA from 1 species